rnacentral:rRNA from 1 species
GACGAACGCUGGCGGCGUGCUUAACACAUGCAAGUCGAACGAAGAGCGAUGGAAGAUUGCUUCUAUCAAUCUUAGUGGCGAACGGGUGAGUAACGCGUAAUCAACCUGCCCUUCAGAGGGGGACAACAGUUGGAAACGACUGCUAAUACCGCAUACGAUCUAAUCUCGGCAUCGAGGAGAGAUGAAAGGUGGCCUCUACAUGUAAGCUAUCACUGAAGGAGGGGAUUGCGUCUGAUUAGCUAGUUGGAGGGGUAACGGCGCACCAAGGCGAUGAUCAGUAGCCGGUCUGAGAGGAUGGACAGCCACAUUGGGACUGAGACACGGCCCAGACGCCUACGGGAGGCAGCAGGGGGGAAUCUUCCGCAAUGGACGGAAGUCUGACGGAGCAACGCCGCGUGAGUGAUGACGGCCUUCGGGUUGUAAAGCUCGGUUAAUCGGGACGAAAGGCCUUCUUGCGAAUAGUGAGAAGGAUUGACGGUACCGGAAUAGAAAGCCACGGCUAACUACGUG